UUAUAACCAUGACAACCAGUUUUAAAGGAACCUCUUCAGUUUCUAUAAUUUAAAUUACAAGUAUGUCCAAAAAGAGGAUUGCAAAAUGAGCAGAGGUACCCGGCUGUAGGCUAAAUGCUGAGUCACAGCUUGAACCAGUGACUGAGCACCUGGUGGGAAGGUAGGGCCAACCCAAAGGAGCUCAGGUGCAAGCAGUGUACCUAAGUGACUGCAAGGGGUGGAGCCACGAUCCACCUCCUCCAGACCUCAUUUAAGGCCUGGCAGUGGAGGUAAGAGCUUUUUGCUGGAGACUCCUGCCUACCUGAGGUCUUCUGAAGGUGAGCAGCUUUUUUUUUCCUUUUUUUUUCCUGCAUCUACAGCUGCUGCACUUGGGCUUCUUCUCACUUGCUGUAGCCUGGGAUUCUGCUGCCCUCCUGUCAUUGCUGUGUUUUCCAUCAUGUUACAGCAUUACACUGACUAUGGUCUGGAUUUAGAUUUUUCUGGUUGGCUCAAACUGGGCAGUCAUAAUUUCUUAUUUCUGCUGUUGUUGAACCUGAAAUAUCUGUAUUAAUGAGGUCUCUUGUCUCCCUAUCACAUGAUCUAAGCUGCCAAACUAUUUACUUUCUCCUUAGUGAUGUAUAAAAGAAUGAAAAUGUGGAUGAUCUAUGCAAAGUUCAAACACUCCCUUAUAUAUGAAACACUAGUCUGAUUUGCUUUUAUUUUCCAAGCUGUGCUUUGCAAUACCCAGAGAAUGCUCAAAUUCUGUCAUAUUUAACCCAAAGUAUAAAGAUAAUCCUAGGCAUGAUGUGCAUUAGACCCACUUGAGCUGCAAAAAAUCAGCUUAACCAAACUAUCUGCUUAUACUAUAUCUUUGGACUAAGUCCCUCAAACAGAGCUCCCAGCUCAUAGGAUAAACCAAAAGAUACAUUUUGAACUCAAAUGAAGCCAUAAAGAUUAGGGAUAACUAAGACUUCUAUACAAGAAUAGGUUAUUCUAUUAUACAUUUGAAAGUAGAAACUUCCUGAAAUAGGAGGGGAAAGCUGAGAA
ensembl:lncRNA